CUUCUAGUUGGGAGUCCUGUCCUCUUGUCUUACCACCACAAAACUCUUGACAUUUGAGCCCUUCUUCAUCUGAGGGUCUUUAAACUGACAGUGAACUGUCUUCCUUUGAAACUGGGUAGACAGCAAGAAGAGGUUGGCAAAGCUCUGAAACAACAUAUGAAGGAUGAGUAGAAGAGGAAGGAUCUUCUAAGGUCUUCGCUUUUGAUCUUAGCUUUGAAGUAACUGUGAAGUCUGGAAAUUUAGGGGAAGCCAGGUAAUCUGGAAGCUGCCUUUUGAUGAUUCCUCUAAAAUGGGAUGAGAAAAUUCUGACCUCCAAGAAGUCUUCGGACUAAUUUACUUCUUCUCAAAGAAUUGGUGGGUUCGAAUGAGAAGAUCUAGUGAAGACACGCUAAUU